rnacentral:rRNA from 1 species
UACGUAGGGUGCAAGCGUUUGUCCGGAAUUAUUGGGCGUAAAGAGCUCGUAGGCGGUUUGUCGCGUCUGCUGUGAAAACUGGAGGCUCAACCUCCAGCCUGCAGUGGGUACGGGCAGACUAGAGUGCGGUAGGGGAGAUUGGAAUUCCUGGUGUAGCGGUGGAAUGCGCAGAUAUCAGGAGGAAUACCGGUGGCGAAGGCGGCGUCCUGGACCGGCAUUGACGCUGAGGAGCGAAAGCCAGGGGAGCAAACGGG